UCUCAGCUCCAGUUUCCAAGUGGAGUCUGAAGAUCUCUGGGAAUUACAACUGAUCUCCAGAUGAAAUAAAUCAGUUUCUCUGGAGAAAAUGGUUGAUUUGAAGGACUGAAUCUACAGCAUUAUACCCUACUGAGGUUCCUCUCCUCCCCAAUCCCUAUUCUCUCUAGACUCCAGCUCUGAAUCUCCAGGAAUUUCCUUACCUGGAGAUGGCAACCCUUGGACCAUUACAGGGCACAGGAUAAUGAAAAACUUAAAAGCAAGCAACCACUGGCCAAAAGCUUCCUUAUGAAAACUGCACCAACAAGGCCAACAGCACCAACAUCAAACCAAGGAAUCCCAGCAGAACCACUGACUAAUGCAUCUGAUGCCAAGACAGAGAAUUCAAGCCAAAUCUACUGGAGCAACAAAUGGGAGUCCAGGAAACAAGACUUCAUAUACAUUAUGGGAGGAUAUCAGUGUUCCUGAGUCUACAAGUUUUCUUCAGGCAGAGUUUUGAUAGUUUUGCCUUAGGAGAGACAUAAAACAAUUGUUUUAUGGUAAAUCACUGAAAUCUUUGAAAAGCCUUGCUGAAGAACUUCGCUUGCCAUCUGCCAUGAAACUGUAUAGGCAGAACUAAAAUGGUGCACAAGAUAUUAUUUCAAUAUAAACUGAGACCUGCUCGUCUAAUUCCUGCAGGCAAGCACCUGCUUCUGUGAUCCAUUUGUUCUUUCACAGUGUCAGCUUGAUAUAAACUCUUCAGUGGAAUGUAUUCACCUAAGGAAAUAUUUUCAUUUAACAGUCUCUGAGUCUUAGUAUCUUUUACAUACCUUCUUUGUGAUUAAGAUCCUAAUAUGGUUCUUAACCUCUAGCAAGUAGCGUUCAGUGGAAAAGCUACCCCAAUAGCUUCAGACACAAGACCAAUGUAACUCUUUUAUUAAAAGGCUUCA